AUUGAACGCUGGCGGCAGGCUUAACACAUGCAAGUCGAGCGAGCGGCGGACGGGUGAGUAAUGUCUGGGAAACUGCCUGAUGGAGGGGGAUAACUACUGGAAACGGUAGCUAAUACCGCAUACCAUCAGAUGUGCCCAGCUGGGAUUAGCUAGUAGGUGGGGUAAUGGCUCACCUAGGCGACGAUCCCUAGCUGGUCGGAGAGGAGGACCAGCAACACUGGAACUGAGAAACGGCCCAGACUCCUACGGGAGGAAGCAGUGGGGAAUAUUCGACAAGGGGGGAAAGCCUGAGGCAGCCAUGCCGCGGGUGGGAAGAAGGCCUUCGGGUGGUAAGGCACUUUCAGCGAGGAGGCGUUACUCGAAGAAGAAGCACCGGCUAACUCCGUGCCAGCAGCCGCGGUAAUAC
rnacentral:rRNA from 1 species